rnacentral:rRNA from 1 species
GAUGAACGCUGGCGGCGUGCCUAAUCCAUGCAAGUCGAGCGAACAGACGAGGAGCUUGCUCCUCUGACGUUAGCGCCGGACGGGUGAGUAACACGUGGAUAACCUACCUAUUAGACUGGGAUAACUUCGGGAAACCGCAGCCAAUACCGGAUAAUAUAUUGAACCGCAUGGCUCAAUAGUGAAUGUCGGCUUUGCUGUUACUUAUAGAUGGAUCCGCACCGCAUUAGCUAGUUGGUAAUGUAACGGCUUACCAAGGCAACGGUGCGUAGCCGACCUGAGAGGGUGGUCGGCCACACUGGACCUGACCUCUGGUCGCGAGGCACAGGGGAGGCAGAAGUCGGGAAUCUUCCCUGAUGGGCGAAAGGCUGACGUAUCACCGCCGCGAGGGUGAUGAAGGUCUUCGGAUCGUGAAGCUCUGUUUUUAGGGACGAACAGAUGGGUACGUAACUAUGCACGUCUUGACGUUACCCAAUCAGAAAGCCACGGCUAACCACCUG